rnacentral:rRNA from 1 species
UCGAAACCUGCACAAGCAGAAAGACCCGCGAACUCGUUUACAAACACCCGAGGGGCGGGGCUCGGCCAAAACCGGCGCUGCCCCUCACACCACCCCGGCGCGGAUUGCGCCAAGGACCAUGAACAAUAGCGCGCCGCCCGCCGCCCGGUCAUCCGGCGUGCGAGCGGCGACGUGUCGUUUCGAUACUAACUGAACGACUCUCGGCAACGGAUAUCUCGGCUCUCGCAUCGAUGAAGAACGUAGCGAAAUGCGAUACUUGGUGUGAAUUGCAGAAUCCCGUGAACCAUCGAGUCUUUGAACGCAAGUUGCGCCCGAAGCCUUCGGGCCGAGGGCACGUCUGCAUGGGCGUCACGCACAGCGUCGCCCCCACCCCGCUCGUGGGGCGUGGGGCGGAUUCUGGCCCCCCGUGUGCUCCCGCGCGCGGUCGGCCUAAAAUUAGACCCCGUGGCGCGCGGAAUGCCGGGACGAUUAGUGUUGUACGCGGCGGCCUAGUAACUCGGGACAUCGAGGUGGUCCUUACGUUUCCCUCGGCAUUCCAAUAAACGGAGGGCCAGAAGUAGUAACAAGGUUUCCCGUAGGCAUAUCAAUAAGCGGAGGAGCAGAAGUCGUA